AGAGCGAACGCUGGCGGCAGGCUUAACACAUGCAAGUCGAGCGGGCGUAGCAAUACGUCAGCGGCAGACGGGUGAGUAACGCGUGGGGAACGUACCUUUUGGUUCGGAACAACCCAGGGAAACUUGGGCUAAUACCGGAUAAGCCCUUACGGGGAAAGAUUUAUCGCCGAAAGAUCGGCCCGCGUCUGAUUAGCUAGUUGGUGAGGUAAUGGCUCACCAAGGCGACGAUCAGUAGCUGGUCUGAGAGGAUGAUCAGCCACAUUGGGACUGAGACACGGCCCAAACUCCUACGGGAGGCAGCAGUGGGGAAUAUUGGACAAUGGGCGCAAGCCUGAUCCAGCCAUGCCGCGUGAGUGAUGAAGGCCCUAGGGUUGUAAAGCUCUUUUGUGCGGGAAGAUAAUGACGGUACCGCAAGAAUAACGCCCGGCUAACUUCGCGCCAGCAGCCGC
rnacentral:rRNA from 1 species